GCUGGGCAUGGUGGCGUGUGCCUGUAGUCCCAGCUACUUGGGAGGCUGAGGUGGGAGGAUGGCUUGAGCCCAGGAGGUGGAGGUUGUAGUAAGCCAUGAUCGUGCUGCCACUGCACUCCAGCCUGGACAACAGAGCCAGACCCUGUCUCAG
ensembl:misc_RNA Metazoa_SRP Metazoan signal recognition particle RNA